GACGAACGCUGGCGGCGUGCUUAACACAUGCAAGUCGAACGGUGAAGCGCCUUCCUUUUUGGUGGGUGUGGAUGAGUGGCGAACGGGUGAGUAACACGUGAGUAACCUGCCCCCUUCUUCUGGAUAACCGCAUGAAAGUGUGGCUAAUACGGGAUAUUCUGGGUCUGUCGCAUGAUGGGUCUGGGAAAGAUAUUGUUUCGGUGGGGGAUGGGCUCGCGGCCUAUCAGCUUGUUGGUGGGGUGAUGGCCUACCAAGGCGGUGACGGGUAGCCGGCCUGAGAGGGUGGACGGUCACACUGGGACUGAGACACGGCCCAGACUCCUACGGGAGGCAGCAGUGGGGAAUAUUGCACAAUGGGCGCAAGCCUGAUGCAGCGACGCCGCGUGAGGGAUGGAGGCCUUCGGGUUGUGAACCUCUUUCGCCAGUGAAGCAGGCCUGCCUCGUUUGUGGGUGGGUUGACGGUAGCUGGAGAAGAAGCGCAGGCUAACUACGUG
rnacentral:rRNA from 1 species